GGAGGGAGGAGAUUGUGAAGGUGCGAGAUGGAGAUGCUGCAUAGAGAAAGAUGGUAAGAGUGGGGUAAAAUGCAAACUUUUGGGAAUUUAUCGUGCAAGCUUUCUUGGUCUGCCAGUGUGUAUAAAGGAAGCGAGUUUCUUUCUCUUUGAUGCUGUAGCUACAAAAUUUAAGAUAAUCCCUUUUUUUUCCCCGGACUUGGCAUUUUCGCCUGGCAUCCCAAUGAAGAGUACCUGCAUGUGAUUGAGCUGAAAUAUACCAAGUCUUCGAAGGGCUCUGUGGAAGAAUUGAUCUAUCCUUUUUUCUGAGUGAGGAGGCCUCAUAUCGCCAUGUGAUACAACGGAUUCAAAAAAGAAUAUCUCUUCAGCAUUGUUAGUAUUCAAUAAAGCAAGAAGUAAAUCUGCUUUCACGUGUUUGUCACUUUCUCGUCAGGGCGGGCUAUAGACCUGGAUCUUGUCCUGGGAAGUGGCCUGAAGAACUUUUUCCAUAGAAAUAUUUUUCAAAGCAGCAAUUUGAGCAGCAACAUGUAUGGCCAUACCAGGAUGAGAAAAUAGUCUUCCUUUGGAUAUCUGAGAAUAUAUAUUAAAACACAAUUAGCAAAAUGGAAACCGUAUAAAUGCAAUAAAUUGUAUUUAAUGCAGUAUGUGACAAAUUUUAUUUAAUAAAUUAAGGCUGAAUGAUUUUAAUAAGAUUCAAAGCAAA